rnacentral:rRNA from 1 species
CUUAGUUACUGGGAUAGCCCGAGGAAACUCGGAUUAAUACCGGAUAUUCUUAUUUUUUCACAUGAAGUUUUAAGGAAAGGUCAGCCGAACUAAGAUGAGCUCGCGUUCUAUCAGCUAGUUGGUGGGGUAAAAGCCUACCAAGGCUACGACGGAUAGCUGGUCUGAGAGGACGAUCAGCCACACUGGGACUGAGACACGGCCCAGACUCCUACGGGAGGCUGCAGCAGGGAAUAUUGUGCAAUGAGCGAAAGCUUGACACAGCGACACCGCGUGUGGGAUGACGGUUCUAGGAUUGUAAACCACUUUCAGGAGGGAAGAAAAU